AACUCCUACGGGGGGCAGCAGUGGGGAAUAUUGGGCAAUGGGCGCAAGCCUGACCCAGCAACGCCGCGUGAAGGAAGAAGGCUUUCGGGUUGUAAACUUCUUUUAUCAGGGACGAAGCAAGUGACGGUACCUGAUGAAUAAGCCACGGCUAACUACGUGCCAGCAGCCGCGGUAAUACGUAGGUGGCAAGCGUUAUCCGGAUUUACUGGGUGUAAAGGGCGUGUAGGCGGGAGUGCAAGUCAGAUGUGGAAACUAUGGGCU
rnacentral:rRNA from 1 species